ACUCAAAGGAAUAGACGGGGGCUCACACAAGCGGAGGAGCAUGUUGUUCAAUUCGAAGCAACGCGAAAAACCUUACCUGGGUUUGACAUGUGCGUAGUAGGAACCUGAAAGGGUAACGAUACCGGGCAACCGGUAAGCGUACACAGGUGCUGCAUGGCUGUCGUCAGCUCGUGUCGUGAGACGUUAGGUUAAGUCCUGUAACGAGCGAAACCCCUGUCGUCUGUUGCUACCGGGUCAUGCCGGGCACUCUGACGAGACUGCCGAUGUCAAAUCGGAGGAAGGCGGGGACGACGUCAAGUCAUCAUGGUCCUUACGCCCAGGGCUACAAACGUGCUACAAUGGUCGGUACAGAGAGUCGCGAAGCCGCGAGGCGGAGCAAAUCUUCAAAACCGACCUCAGUUCGGAUUGGAGGCUGAAAUUCGCCUCCAUGAAGCCGGAUUCGCUAGUAAUCGCGGAUCAGAUACGCCGCGGUGAAUAUGUUCUUGAGCCUUGUACACACCGCCCGU
rnacentral:rRNA from 1 species